rnacentral:misc_RNA from 1 species
UCCGGUUUGUCACCGGCAGUCCCAUUAGAGUGCUCAACUAAAUGUCGCAACUAAUGGCAAGGGUUGCGCUCGUUGCGGGACUUAACCCAACAUCUCACGACACGAGCUGACGACAGCCAUGCAGCACCUGUGUUCCGAUUCUCUUUCGGGCACACCCACAUCUCUGCGGGCUCUCGGACAUGUCAAGGGUAGGUAAGGUUUUUCGCGUUGCAUCGAAUUAAUCCACAUAAUCCACCGCUUGUGCGGGUCCCCGUCAACUCCUUUGAGUUUCAACCUUGCGGCCGUACUCCCCAGGCGGAGAACUUAGCGCGUUAGCUGCGACACUGGGAGGCUAACCCUCUCAACGUCUAGUUCUCAUCGUUUAAGGCGUGGACUAC